GAGUUGGAACCAACUUGAUGGUACCUAACAACAACAACACACAUAGCUGAAGAUUAAUUAGUGGUAUAACUGAAGUAAUAAUGCUGCCAGUCUCCUUAAAAAAAAC
rnacentral:snoRNA from 1 species